ACGCCCGAUCUCGUCUGAUCUCGGAAGCUAA
rnacentral:rRNA from 10 species